GAUGAAGAACGCAGCGAAAUGCGAUAAAUAAUGUGAAUUGCAGAAUUCAGUGAAUCAUCGAAUCUUUGAACGCACAUUGCGCCCGGUAGUAUUCUGCCGGGCAUGCCUGUUCGAGCGUCAUUUCAACCAUCAAGCCCCAGCGCUUGUGUUGGGGGCCUGCGGCUGCCGCAGCCCCCUAAAAGCAGUGGCGGGCUCGCUAUCACACCGAGUGCAGUAGUUCAUCUUCUCUCCGGUCUUGUGAGGCGGGUUCCGGCCGUGAAACACCCCACUACAUUCAAGGUUGACCUCGGAUCAGGUAGGAAUACCCGCUGAACUUAAGCAUAUCAAUAAGCGGAGGA
rnacentral:misc_RNA from 1 species